rnacentral:tRNA from 1 species
GGUUAUGGCUCAGUGGUAGAGUGCUCGCUUCGCACGUGCAAGGCCCUGAGUUCAAUCCUCAGCACCA